rnacentral:rRNA from 1 species
CCUACGGGAGGCAGCAGUGAGGAAUAUUGGUCAAUGGGCGGGAGCCUGAACCAGCCAAGUCGCGUGAGGGAAGACGGUCCUAUGGAUUGUAAACCUCUUUAGGCGGGGAGCAAUGCCGGGCACGCGUGCCCGGAGGGAGAGUACCUGCAGAAUAAGCACCGGUUAACUCCGUGCAAGCAGCCGCGGUAAUACGGAGGAUGCGAGCGUUACCCGGAUUUAUGGGGUUAAAAGGGUGCGUAGGCGGAUUUUUAAGUCAGCGGUAAAAUGUCCGGGCUCAACCCGGGCCGGCCGUUGAAACUGGGGAGCUUGAGUGGGCGAGAAGUAUGCGGAAUGCGUGGUGUAGCGGUGAAAUGCAUAGAUAUCACGCAGAACUCCGAUUGCGAAGGCAGCAUACCGGCGCCCGACUGACGCUGAGGCACGAAAGCGUGGGGAUCGAACAGGAUUAGAUACCCCAGUAGUC